rnacentral:rRNA from 1 species
UACGUAGGGACCAAGCGUUGUUCGGAUUUACUGGGCGUAAAGGGCGCGUAGGCGGCGUGACAAGUCACUUGUGAAAUCUCCGGGCUCAACUCGGAACGGCCAAGUGAUACUGUCGUGCUAGAGUGCAGAAGGGGCAAUCGGAAUUCUUGGUGUAGCGGUGAAAUGCGUAGAUAUCAAGAGGAACACCUGAGGUGAAGACGGGUUGCUGGGCUGACACUGACGCUGAGGCGCGAAAGCUAGGGGAGCAAACGGG